rnacentral:rRNA from 1 species
GAUGAACGCUGGCGGCGUGCCUAAUACAUGCAAGUCGAGCGAACAGACGAGGAGCUUGCUCCUCUGACGUUAGCGGCGGACGGGUGAGUAACACGUGGAUAACCUACCUAUAAGACUGGGAUAACUUCGGGAAACCGGAGCUAAUACCGGAUAAUAUCUUGAACCGCAUGGUUCAAUAGUGAAAGACGGUUUUGCUGUCACUUAUAGCUGGAUCCGCGCUGCAUUAGCUAGUUGGUAAGGUAACGGCUUACCAAGGCAACGAUGCGUAGCCGACCUGAGAGGGGGAUCGGCCACACUGGAACUGAGACACGGUCCAGACUCCUACGGGAGGCAGCAGUAGGGAAUCUUCCGCAAUGGGCGAAAGCCUGACGGAGCAACGCCGCGUGAGUGAUGAAGGUCUUCGGAUCGUAAAAAUCUGUUAUUAGGGAAGAACAAAUGUGUAAGUAACUAUGCACGUCUUGACGGUACCUAAUCAGAAAGCCACGGCUAACUACGUG